GUGCUUGCUUCAGCAACAUGUACACUAAAAUUGAAGGAUACAGAGAAAAUCAGCAGGACUCCUGCAUAAAGAUGGCAUGCAAAUUUGUGAAGUGUUCCAUAUUUCG